GCCUGGGUGGCUCAGUCAGUUAAGCACCUGACUUCAGCUCAGGUCAUGAUUUCACUGUUUGUGGGUUCAAGCCCCACAUCGGGCU
rnacentral:tRNA from 1 species